rnacentral:rRNA from 1 species
UACGUAGGGCGCAAGCGUUAUCCGGAAUUAUUGGGCGUAAAGGGCGCGUAGGCGGCCGUGCAAGUGGAAGGUGAAAUCCCUCGGCUCAACCGAGGAACUGCCUUUCAAACUGCUUGGCUUGAGUCCGGGAGAGGUGAGUGGAAUUCCCAGUGUAGCGGUGAAAUGCGUAGAUAUUGGGAGGAACACCAGUGGCGAAGGCGGCUCACUGGACCGGAACUGACGCUGAGGCGCGAAAGCGUGGGUAGCAAACAGG